GUCUAACUAGUUGUAGUUCAGAUCUUGCAAAAAAAGCAAGAAAAGUUUUAUCUGCUAUUAACUCUUACUCAUCAGGCUUUGGACAACUUCCUGUGAGAGUGUCUUGCAACCUUUUUGAAACUUUGGUCAAACCUAUUUUAACAUAUAAUAGUGAAAUAUGCUAUAUGGACACUUAUAUUCAAUUUUAUAGAGCUAAACUCCGAGCUAACAAAAAUAGCUCAACACCAGAUGCUAUUCAUUUUAUUGAUAAAACUGUUUUAGAAAAAACCCAGCUACAUUUUAUGAAACAAGUACUGGGGACAAAAAUAAGCUCAACAAAUCUAGCUGUUAGAAAUGAACUAGGACUUUUGCCAUUAGAAACUUUCAUAAAAACCCAAACUAUGAUGUACCUAUCUAGAUUAAAUAAUGAAAAUCUAAACCCACUUCUUAAUGAAGCCUUUAAAUUAACUAAAAGUUUAGAUACCAAGGGAACAUACUCUUGGUAUACUUUUGCAAAAAAUGUGUCACAAGAUAUAAAUAUUGACAUUAAACUUAUUGAGGAAACUAAAACUUUAAAACAGACUAAAAUGUUAAAACCCC
rnacentral:lncRNA from 1 species